CAUAUAUUUUAUUUGUUUAUUUUUAAGUUUAAAA
rnacentral:sRNA from 1 species